rnacentral:rRNA from 1 species
UACGUAGGGGGCAAGCGUUGUCCGGAAUCAUUGGGCGUAAAGCGCGUGUAGGCGGUUCGGUAAGUCCGCUGUGAAAGUCGGGGGCUCAACCCUCGGAUGCCGGUGGAUACUGUCGAGCUUGAGUACGGAAGAGGCGAGUGGAAUUCCUGGUGUAGCGGUGAAAUGCGCAGAUAUCAGGAGGAACACCAAUUGCGAAGGCAGCUCGCUGGGACGGUACUGACGCUAAGGCGCGAAAGCGUGGGGAGCGAACAGG